GGGGUUGUGGCUCAGUGGUAGAGCACUCAUCUAGCACGAGCGAGGCCCUGGGUUCUAUCCUCAACACCACA
rnacentral:tRNA from 1 species